UGCCACGAAGCCGACUGGUUCAGGCAACACGCUGAUAACGUGUGGCUAGCAGGUUCGAUUCCUGCCGCGGCAA
rnacentral:tRNA from 2 species